rnacentral:rRNA from 1 species
CGGAGAGUUUGAUCCUGGCUCAGGACGAACGCUGGCGGCGUGCCUAAUACAUGCAAGUCGAACGAACUCUGGUAUUGAUUGGUGCUUGCAUCAUGAUUUACAUUUGAGUGAGUGGCGAACUGGUGAGUAACACGUGGGAAACCUGCCCAGAAGCGGGGGAUAACACCUGGAAACAGAUGCUAAUACCGCAUAACAACUUGGACCGCAUGGUCCGAGUUUGAAAGAUGGCUUCAGCUAUCACUUUUGGAUGGUCCCGCGGCGUAUUAGCUAGAUGGUGGGGUAACGGCUCACCAUGGCAAUGAUACGUAGCCGACCUGAGAGGGUAAUCGGCCACAUUGGGACUGAGACACGGCCCAAACUCCUACGGGAGGCAGCAGUAGGGAAUCUUCCACAAUGGACGAAAGUCUGAUGGAGCAACGCCGCGUGAGUGAAGAAGGGUUUCGGCUCGUAAAACUCUGUUGUUAAAGAAGAACAUAUCUGAGAGUAACUGUUCAGGUAUUGACGGUAUUUAACCAGAAAGCCACGGCUAACUACGUGCCAGCAGCCGCGGUAAUACGUAGGUGGCAAGCGUUGUCCGGAUUUAUUGGGCGUAAAGCGAGCGCAGGCGGUUUUUUAAGUCUGAUGUGAAAGCCUUCGGCUCAACCGAAGAAGUGCAUCGGAAACUGGGAAACUUGAGUGCAGAAGAGGACAGUGGAACUCCAUGUGUAGCGGUGAAAUGCGUAGAUAUAUGGAAGAACACCAGUGGCGAAGGCGGCUGUCUGGUCUGUAACUGACGCUGAGGCUCGAAAGUAUGGGUAGCAAACAGGAUUAGAUACCCUGGUAGUCCAUACCGUAAACGAUGAAUGCUAAGUGUUGGA